rnacentral:rRNA from 1 species
GCGACCCAGGUCAGGCGGGACUACC